rnacentral:rRNA from 1 species
AUUGAACGCUGGCGGCAUGCUUUACACAUGCAAGUCGAACGGUAACAGGCCGCAAGGUGCUGACGAGUGGCGAACGGGUGAGUAAUGCAUCGGAACGUGCCCAGUCGUGGGGGAUAACUACUCGAAAGAGGAGCUAAUACCGCAUACGAUCUAUGGAUGAAAGCGGGGGACCGUAAGGCCUCGCGCGAUUUGAGCGGCCGAUGUCAGAUUAGGUAGUUGGUGGGGUAAAGGCUCACCAAGCCAACGAUCUGUAGCUGGUCUGAGAGGACGACCAGCCACACUGGGACUGAGACACGGUCCAGACUCCUACGGGAGGCAGCAGUGGGGAAUUUUGGACAAUGGGCGCAAGCCUGAUCCAGCAAUGCCGCGUGCAGGAAGAAGGUCUUCGGGUUGUAAACUGCUUUUGUACGGAACGAAACGGCUCUGGUUAAUACCCGGGGCUAAUGACGGUACCGUAAGAAUAAGCACCGGCUAACUACGUG